UCUGCUCUACUUAAGGAGACCCAGCUCCAGCAUUCAUAGCCAGUUCAUUGCCCCUGAUGGUGCUCAGUCUAUCCUUAGACUCUAGUCUGGUUCCCUUGUCUUGUUCUAUAGCUAAUCCUUUUUAUUUUUUUUUCUGCCUCAGGAUUUCAUGCCACGAGAGUCACCUGAGUCAGACGCUUCCACGGGUAGCUACUACAUUCCUGAAAUCUCCUGAGAGAACCAGCCUUCGUUAUUGUCUUCUGGCACGCCACGGGUUUCGAGAUCGCCAAGAUCUCCAGCCACACCACAAAUCCCUUCUGCAUCAGAACCUCAAGUCUUGCCACGACCACAAACUUCGCCAGGACCCCCAGCCACGUCAGAUAAGAAAAUCAACCUUAUUACUUACCUACUCCUUACCUGUGUCCUCCUUCCGGGUUUCAGCAUCUGGGUCUGUCUUGCCUCUGUAUCGUGAAAAACUCAAAAGAAUCAACUCUGCACCUGCAGGGAAAUUCUGGUGACCAACAAGAUGGCUUUUGACAUUUCUACAAUAAAUAUACCCAAAGCCGACAUCUGCUCAGCAGUUUUACCUGCAGAGGAGAUCAUCAAGCAAAAGGACUGUUGAAUGUUGCUUCUUUCCACUCUUCCAGUUGACUAGUUAAUGCUCACAAUGUUUAGUUAAACAUGUGACUUAACUGUCUUUGUUUUGUUUAUUUAUUUUAUCAUUUUAGUAAUGAGAUUGAUAAAUCUGUGAAUUUUUUAUUGUGUUAACUUCUACAAUGCUACAAUCAAUCAGAAACUGUUUCAUUUACUAGUUUUAAUAUAAGACUCACUACCAAAACUUUCACAUUCUUAGCGCUGCUUAUUAUUGGAUUUUUUGGGAUUUUUAUCUUGUGAAGUUAGCUUCCCAUUGACAUUUUUUUCUGUCUUGUACUUACAUUUAAAAUGUGACGAAUAGAAAAACAUGAAUCAAA